AUUGAACGCUGGCGGCAGGCCUAACACAUGCAAGUCGAGCGGAUGAAGGGAGCUUGCUCCUGGAUUCAGCGGCGGACGGGUGAGUAAUUCCUAGGAAUCUGCCUGGUAGUGGGGGAUAACGUCCGGAAACGGGCGCUAAUACCGCAUACGUCCUGAUGGAGAAAGUGGGGGAUCUUCGGACCUCACGCUAUCAGAUGAGCCUAGGUCGGAUUAGCUAGUUGGUGGGGUAAAGGCCUACCAAGGCGACGAUCCGUAACUGGUCUGAGAGGAUGAUCAGUCACACUGGAACUGAGACACGGUCCAGACUCCUACGGGAGGCAGCAGUGGGGAAUAUUGGACAAUGGGCGAAAGCCUGAUCCAGCCAUGCCGCGUGUGUGAAGAAGGUCUUCGGAUUGUAAAGCACUUUAAGUUGGGAGGAAGGGCAGUAAGUUAAUACCUUGCUGUUUUGACGUUACCAACAGAAUAAGCACCGGCUAACUUCGUG
rnacentral:rRNA from 1 species